rnacentral:rRNA from 1 species
UACGUAGGCAGCGAGCGUUGCUCGGAAUGACUGGGCGUAAAGGGCGCGUAGGCGGCUCAUACAGUCAGGCGUGAAAUUCCUGGGCUCAACCUGGGGACUGCGCUUGAGACGUGUGGGCUUGAGUGGGGAAGAGGGUCGUGGAAUUCCCAGUGUAGAGGUGAAAUUCGUAGAUAUUGGGAAGAACACCGGUGGCGAAGGCGGCGACCUGGUCCUUGACUGACGCUGAGGCGCGAAAGCGUGGGGAGCAAACAGG